AAGUCGUAACAAGGUUUCCGUAGGUGAACCUGCGGAAGGAUCAUUAACGAAUGUUGAACCGGGUUGUUGCUGGCCCUCAGGGGCAUGUGCACACCCUUCAAUUUCAUCCAUCCCUGUGCACUCACUGUAGACUGCCACCAAGUGGUGUCUAUGUCUUUUCACACACACUACUUAGAUCAUGAAUGUGGACCAGAUCUUUAAGAUCUAUAUCUAUACAACUUUUAGCAAUGGAUCUCUUGGCUCUC
rnacentral:misc_RNA from 1 species